UCCCUGUUGGCUCAGACAGUAAAGAAUCUGCCUGCAAUGCAGGAGAUCUGGGUUCAGUCCCUGGAUUGGGAA
rnacentral:tRNA from 1 species